rnacentral:lncRNA from 1 species
AUGACCUUGACAAAGGUCACAAGGUCAAAGUCAUGUCCCAGAUAGCGAAUUAUGUGUUUUUGACCUUAUUUUAAGGAUUUUUAGUGUGUUUUAAAUGUUUUCAAGGUUGACCUGACCUUUGACCUUUCAACUUUUUAGUCGAUAUCUCAAAAACGGUUAAUCUUAGAGAAAUAGUAAACAGUGAAAAAUGUUGAGGUGACUGAGGCACA